GACGAACGCUGGCGGCGUGCUUAACACAUGCAAGUCGAACGGAGUGGCGAACGGGUGAGUAACACGUGGGUGAUCUGCCUUGCACUUCGGGAUAAGCUUGGGACACUGGGUCUAAUACCGGAUAGUGCAAGAUGAGCUCGCGGCCUAUCAGCUUGUAGGUGGGGUAAUGUCCUACUAAGGCGUCGACGGGUAGCCGGCCUGAGAGUGUGUACGGACACAUAGGGACUGAGGGAGGGACCGGAGGGCUACGGGAGAGAGCAGUGGAGAAUGGUGCACAAGGGGCGGAAGCAGGAUGGAGCGAGGCCGCGUGGGAGAUCAAGGUCUUCGAGUAGUAAACUCCGUUCGAAAGGGACGCGGGACCUGUAUAGGAAGCACCGGCUAACUACGUGCCAGCAGCCGCGGUAAUAC
rnacentral:rRNA from 1 species